GUGGUUGGAGAAUCGGGAGGCGCAAGUGGUGGUGGUCGUCGGAGAAUUGGGAGGCGCUGCUGCUGGUGGUGGUCGUCGGAGAGCCGAGAUGCGCUAGUGGUGGUGGUCGUCGGAGAACCGGGAGGCAGUGGUGGUGGUGGUCGUCGGAGAAGGCGCUGGUGGUGGUGGGGUAGAAAGAAAGGUCGGAUUGCUGAGAGAGAGAGAGUCGGGAAAUUAGGGUUUCGAAGUAAUUUUAAUAAAUUUUGAGUUUUUGACUUUUGUAUGUUUUAGAAAAUUAAAAAUUAAUAAUAUGUCCAA
rnacentral:lncRNA from 1 species